AAAAAGGAAGAACAAGAAGAGACCUGUGGAAGAUGGUCGAGUGGCAAAAGACGAACCUCCACGUGUACAAGCUGCUGCUGCUGUUCAGUAUACACCAACAAAAGCUUGUACCGCAACGUUGAAAGCUAGCCCAGGGCCUGUGACUGAAUGCAACUAGCUGCAGUAUCUCGGAGCCUGACUACUGCUAUGGCUCCACCCAGAAAUGCAAAGAAAGUGGCCAAAAAGAAGAAAAGAAAGAAGUGAAAGGCCAAGAGGAUGUUGCUCUUGGGUUGAACUGUUGCUGUGCUGUUGCUAAUGUGAUCUGCGAAACACAGAACCAGGUGAGUUUAUGGAACUACUAGUCACUCACUUUAUGCUUUAGUUAAAUGUGGAUCAUUAUGUGCUCUUUGCUGUCAUAGACAACUAGUCAUCAUGUGUGUGUUCUAGUGAUGCUUUUGCUGCUAUUUCCUGUCGAAUUCGUGCUA